UGGGGAAUUUUGGACAAUGGGCGCAAGCCUGAUCCAGCCAUGCCGCGUGAGUGAAGAAGGCCUUCGGGUUGUAAAGCUCUUUCAGUUGGGAAGAAACGAUUGCAACUAAUAAUUGUAAUUAAUGACGGUACCGACAGAAGAAGCACCGGCUAACUACGUGCCAGCAGCCGCGGUAAUACGUAGGGUGCGAGCGUUAAUCGGAAUUACUGGGCGUAAAGGGUGCGCAGGCGGUUUUGUAAGUCAGAUGUGAAAUCCCCGGGCUUAACCUGGGAAUGGCGUUUGAAACUGCAAGGCUAGAGUGUAGCAGAGGGGAGUGGAAUUCCGCGUGUAGCAGUGAAAUGCGUAGAUAUGCGGAGGAACACCGAUGGCGAAGGCAGCUCCCUGGGCUAACACUGACGCUCA
rnacentral:rRNA from 1 species